CCUACGCGUGGCAGCAGUGGGGAAUAUUGCGCCAUGGGAGAGAUCCUGAACCAGCCAAGCCGCGUGAGGGAAGACGGCCCUAUGGGUUGUAAACCUCUUUUGUCGGAGAACAAAACCCGGGACGUGUCCCGGACUGCGUGUAUCCGAAGAAAAAGCAUCGGCUAACUCCGUGCCAGCAGCCGCGGUAAUACGGAGGAUGCGAGCGUUAUCCGGCUUUAUUGGGUUUACAGGGUGCGUAGGCGGUCCGUUAAGUCAGCGGUAAAAUGGCGGGGCUCAACCCUGUCGAGCCGUUGAAACUGGCAGACUUGAGUUGGCGAGAAGUACGCGGAAUGCGCGGUGUAGCGGUGAAAUGCAUAGAUAUCGCGCAGAACUCCGAUUGCGAAGGCAGCGUACCGGCGCCAGACUGACGCUGAGGCACGAAAGCGUGGGGAUCGAACAGGAUUAGAUACCCGAGUAGUC
rnacentral:rRNA from 1 species